rnacentral:rRNA from 1 species
GAUGAACGCUGGCGGCGUGCCUAAUACAUGCAAGUCGAGCGAAUGGAUUAAGAGCUUGCUCUUAUGAAGUUAGCGGCGGACGGGUGAGUAACACGUGGGUAACCUGCCCAUAAGACUGGGAUAACUCCGGGAAACCGGGGCUAAUACCGGAUAACAUUUUGAACCGCAUGGUUCGAAAUUGAAAGGCGGCUUCGGCUGUCACUUAUGGAUGGACCCGCGUCGCAUUAGCUUGUUGGUGAGGUAUCGGCUCACCAAGGCAACGAUGCGUAGCCGACCUGAGAGGGUGAUCGGCCACACUGGGACUGAGACACGGCCCAGACUCCUACGGGAGGCAGCAGUAGGGAAUCUUCCGCAAUGGACGAAAGUCUGACGGAGCAACGCCGCGUGAGUGAUGAAGGCUUUCGGGUCGUAAAACUCUGUUGUUAGGGAAGAACAAGUGCUAGUUGAAUAAGCUGGCACCUUGACGGUACCUAACCAGAAAGCCACGGCUAACUACGUGCCAGCAGCCGCGGUAA